rnacentral:misc_RNA from 1 species
GUUGCAGAAAUCUAGAACCCUGCUUCUCAAUUAGAUUCUAGAAAAUAGCAAGCUCUUAACCUUCUUUCAUCUUGUACAAUUAAUUUUAUUUUUUGGUAAAUGACAAUAUUAUUACAGAAGCCAACAUUACAAUCCAGAAAAACAAAAACAGAAAAACAGAGAGGCCCAGCUGGACAUGAAGACCCAAGCCAGCUACAACUAACAGCAAAGUACUCAUAGCCCCCAAGUCCUCAAGUAUCAGCUAGUAAACUAUAGCAUUAAAGGUAGUAGUUAAGUUCAUCCAUUCUCCUAGUCAAUCUCUUGUAUGAUUAAUUUAAUAUAAAUAAGGAAUAAGGCAAGGUAAUUACCCCACUGUAAUUAUCUCCAGAGUCA